UGGGGAAUAUUGGACAAUGGGCGAAAGCCUGAUCCAGCAAUGCCGCGUGAGUGAUGAAGGCCUUAGGGUUGUAAAGCUCUUUCAGUAGGGAAGAUAAUGACGGUACCUACAGAAGAAGCACCGGCUAACUUCGUGCCAGCAGCCGCGGUAAUACGAAGGGUGCUAGCGUUGUUCGGAAUUACUGGGCGUAAAGCGCGCGUAGGUGGUUUAGUAAGUUGGAAGUGAAAUCCCUGAGCUUAACUUAGGAAUUGCUUUCAAAACUACUAAGCUGGAGUAUGGUAGGGGAUAGCGGAAUUCCUAGUGUAGAGGUGAAAUUCGUAGAUAUUAGGAGGAACACCAGAGGCGAAAGCGGCUAUCUGGGCCAUUACUGACACUAAGGCGCGAAAGCGUGGGGAGCAAACAGG
rnacentral:rRNA from 1 species